AUAUCCUGGUGCGAAGAUACUAGAAGUCCAGUCUUUACUCAAGUUUAUAUUAAAAAGCUAAUAAGUGUGCAGGAAGUUACAAAAUUACGACUUAAUAAUAAUGAAGAUCUGUGAGUCAACGCGACGCGGCAUGCGCGACCGCGCACGGAACCCAAGGAUUGGACAACACGGUGGCGCGAUGAAACACGCCACGCCGCGCUCGCUUCCAGCUGAGCUACACGUCCUAAUACACGACCCAAUGUAGUGAUCCGACCAUUUUACUCGGCGAAAACAAAUGCGACGUGGACAUUGAUCGUUCGGCGAAGACGUGCAAAUGUUUGAAUAUCAGUCUACUUCGGUUCAGAGGUUUGGUAGUUGGUCGAUACCGCCAAGGUUCCAGGUUUGAUUUCCUUAAGGUAAAGCAAAUGAAGCUCUUUCGAUCGAUACGCUCCAGUAGCG